rnacentral:rRNA from 1 species
UGACCGCUGGCGGCGUGCCUACUACAUGCACGUCGAGCGACCAGAUGAGGAGCUUGCUCCUCUGACGUUAGCGGCGGACGGGUGAGUAACACGUGGAUAACCUACCUAUAAGACUGGGAUAACUUCGGGAAACCGGAGCUAAUACCGGAUAAUAUAUUGAACCGCAUGGUUCAAUAGUGAAAGACGGUUUUGCUGUCACUUAUAGAUGGAUCCGCGCCGCAUUAGCUAGUUGGUAAGGUAACGGCUUACCAAGGCAACGAUGCGUAGCCGACCUGAGAGGGUGAUCGGCCACACUGGAACUGAGACACGGUCCAGACUCCUACGGGAGGCAGCAGUAGGGAAUCUUCCGCAAUGGGCGAAAGCCUGACGGAGCAACGCCGCGUGAGUGAUGAAGGUCUUCGGAUCGUAAAACUCUGUUAUUAGGGAAGAACAAAUGUGUAAGUAACUAUGCACGUCUUGACGGUACCUAAUCAGAAAGCCACGGCUAACUACGUG